UCUGCUGGAAUCCGGUAAAUUUCCCCACUGUGGAACUAAUAAAGGAUUAUCUUAUUUUAUCUAUCACACACAGGUUGAUUGUAAGCAAAUAUUUGUGACUAGUAAAAUCCUCUUUGGAGGAAUUACAUUUUCCUUUAGUUUGACUAAAAGUCAUAUUUUUGUUUUGUUUCAGAAACCGGCUUCCUGUCCUUUAGUGACAAUACGUGUCUGCUCCUGACGUGUGCUGUCUUGGCUAUAAGUGUGAACGUCGCAGCCGUCCUCAUCUACGCCAUCAAGAACAACAAGUGUGAUUAUUGCAAUAAUGAAGCUGCUGUUUUCCUUCGAGAAAAUCUUGCAAAAAGGAAGUUAAAGAGAAAUGACGACGCGUGGAUGUAUUCUACUGUCGUCUUCAAUGUGAUGCAACCUGCCGGUGGUGGAAGGAGGGACGCCAAAGCAGCGGAGAGAGAGAGGAUCUAUGCCGCCGUCAAGGCUUUUGGGUUGGAGUAGCAUGUUGAGGUCAGCUGGAGAAAUGUGACAGCUGAUGAUCCUGCUUUAACGUGUUGGUCUUACGCUUACAUGAACAUUUAGUUGACGGUAAUAAGAAUAUAUGGUCGAAGGCCUGUCGUCCAUCUAUGAUCCCCUCACACUGAUACUUCACACCAACUUCCUGUCUUUGUCAUCUGGGUUAUUUUUAGUCCUUCCCCUUGUCGUCUUUACCGAGAUUAAACAUUUCUAAAAUUGGACUUCUACCAAAAGUGGUACAUUUAAUGCUAACUAUGAUGUGGGUGAAAUGUCAUGUUUAAUGUGGCCGUGUGAAGUCCCAACUGGAGGUCUUCAUUGUUGUCAUCCUCACUGUUGUGGUGCUCGUUAAUAAAAUGCAUGACAGGAAAUGCUACAGUCGUACAAGAAUUCAAAAAGUGAAAUCUGUGGAGUUGUCGUUCCGCUAUUUUUGGCUCCAAAAAGAGACCACGAAUAAGGAAGCAUUUAUAUUUUGUUUGCGUUCACGUAUAAUAAAUGUAUUAAAAGUG